GGGGGAGUAGCUCAGUGGAAGAGCACAGCGAUUUGCUUUUGGUCUUUUUCACCCUAAAAACCACCUAAAUGGGUAUUCGCUGCCCAGCGAAACGAAAUACCUAGAGCACAUCCUGAGGUCCUGGGUUCGACCCCCAGUUCUCCCA